rnacentral:rRNA from 2 species
GCGGCGUGCCUAAUACAUGCAAGUCGAACGAACUCUGGUAUUGAUUGGUGCUUGCAUCAUGAUUUACAUUUGAGUGAGUGGCGAACUGGUGAGUAACACGUGGGAAACCUGCCCAGAAGCGGGGGAUAACACCUGGAAACAGAUGCUAAUACCGCAUAACAACUUGGACCGCAUGGUCCGAGUUUGAAAGAUGGCUUCGGCUAUCACUUUUGGAUGGUCCCGCGGCGUAUUAGCUAGAUGGUGGGGUAACGGCUCACCAUGGCAAUGAUACGUAGCCGACCUGAGAGGGUAAUCGGCCACAUUGGGACUGAGACACGGCCCAAACUCCUACGGGAGGCAGCAGUAGGGAAUCUUCCACAAUGGACGAAAGUCUGAUGGAGCAACGCCGCGUGAGUGAAGAAGGGUUUCGGCUCGUAAAACUCUGUUGUUAAAGAAGAACAUAUCUGAGAGUAACUGUUCAGGUAUUGACGGUAUUUAACCAGAAAGCCACGGCUAACUACGUGCCAGCAGCCGCGGUAAUACGUAGGUGGCAAGCGUUGUCCGGAUUUAUUGGGCGUAAAGCGAGCGCAGGCGGUUUUUUAAGUCUGAUGUGAAAGCCUUCGGCUCAACCGAAGAAGUGCAUCGGAAACUGGGAAACUUGAGUGCAGAAGAGGACAGUGGAACUCCAUGUGUAGCGGUGAAAUGCGUAGAUAUAUGGAAGAACACCAGUGGCGAAGGCGGCUGUCUGGUCUGUAACUGACGCUGAGGCUCGAAAGUAUGGGUAGCAAACAGGAUUAGAUACCCUGGUAGUCCAUACCGUAAACGAUGAAUGCUAAGUGUUGGAGGGUUUCCGCCCUUCAGUGCUGCAGCUAACGCAUUAAGCAUUCCGCCUGGGGAGUACGGCCGCAAGGCUGAAACUCAAAGGAAUUGACGGGGGCCCGCACAAGCGGUGGAGCAUGUGGUUUAAUUCGAAGCUACGCGAAGAACCUUACCAGGUCUUGACAUACUAUGCAAAUCUAAGAGAUUAGACGUUCCCUUCGGGGACAUGGAUACAGGUGGUGCAUGGUUGUCGUCAGCUCGUGUCGUGAGAUGUUGGGUUAAGUCCCGCAACGAGCGCAACCCUUAUUAUCAGUUGCCAGCAUUAAGUUGGGCACUCUGGUGAGACUGCCGGUGACAAACCGGAGGAAGGUGGGGAUGACGUCAAAUCAUCAUGCCCCUUAUGACCUGGGCUACACACGUGCUACAAUGGAUGGUACAACGAGUUGCGAACUCGCGAGAGUAAGCUAAUCUCUUAAAGCCAUUCUCAGUUCGGAUUGUAGGCUGCAACUCGCCUACAUGAAGUCGGAAUCGCUAGUAAUCGCGGAUCAGCAUGCCGCGGUGAAUACGUUCCCGGGCCUUGUACACACCGCCCGUCACACCAUGAGAGUUUGUAACACCCAAAGUCGGUGGGGUAACCUUUUAGGAACCAGCCGCCUAAGGUGGGACAGAUGAUUAGGGUGAAGUCGUAACAAG